rnacentral:rRNA from 1 species
GAGACGCUGGCGGCGUGCUUAACACAUGCAAGUCGAACGAUGAACCUACUUGUGGGGGGAUUAGUGGCGAACGGGUGAGUAACACGUGAGUAACCUGCCCUUAACUCUGGGAUAAGCCUGGGAAACUGGGUCUAAUACCGGAUAUGACUCCUCAUCGCAUGGUGGGGGGUGGAAAGCUUUAUUGUGGUUUUGGAUGGACUCGCGGCCUAUCACCUUGUUGGUGACGUAAUGGCCUCACCAAGGCGACAACGGGUAGCC